ensembl:lncRNA
UGGUAAUUUGGGACAGUAUGUUUGGUAAUUUGGGACACAGACUCAUGGGUGUAGAUUAAUGUAUUGAACAAUAAUUAAACAUUUAAAAAAACAUUGUAAUGGUCAACCAUAAAUAUAUCUUGAAGGUUGUGCAUUAUGUGUACAUUAUCAUGAUAAUGUAUGAGCAUAUUGGUAACCUCGACCGGUUAAGCAAAAAAGGCAGGAAAGUCAUUGGCUAGCCUUGUUAGGUGCUGACUAAGACUGUAGAUGAGCCAUUAAGUGUUUGAAGUGUUACAGGCCAAAAUAGAAAAGAAUAGUACUUUUUUUUUUUUUACUGAUUUUGUUCACCAAAAUAUAUGCAUAAAUACUUUUUUUUUUUUUUUUUUAAACUGAUUUUGUUUAUCAAUAUACAUGCAUUAAUACUUUUUUUUUAACUGAUUUAAGUGUUACAGGCCAAAAUAGAAAAAAAUAGUAAGAGCAUAUUGGUAACUUUGACCGGUUAAGCAAAAAAGGCAGGAAAGUCAUUGGCUAGCCUUGUUAGGUGCUGACUACGACUGUAGAUGAGCCAUUAAGUGUUUGAAGUGUUACAGGCCAAAAUAGAAAAAAAUAGUAAGAGCAUAUUGGUGACUUUGACCUGUUAAGCAAAAAAGGCAGGAAAGUCAUUGGCUAGCCUUGUUAGGUGCUGACUAAGACUGUAGAUGAGCCAUUAAGUGUUUGAAGUGUUACAGGCCAAAAUAGAAAAGAAUAGUACUUUUUUUUUUUUUAACUGAUUUUGUUCACCAAAAUAUAUGCAUAAAUACAUUUUUUUUUUUUUUUUUUAAACUGAUUUUGUUUAUCAAUAUACAUGCAUUAAUACUUUUUUUUAACUGAUUUAAGUGUUACAGGCCAAAAUAGAAAAAAAUAGUAAGAGCAUAUUGGUAACUUUGACCGGUUAAGCAAAAAAGGCAGGAAAGUCAUUGGCUAGCCUUGUUAGAUACUGACUAAGACUGUAGAUGAGCCAUUAAGUGUUUGAAGUGUUACAGGCCAAAAUAGAAAAAAAUUGUACUUUUUUUUUUUUUUUUACUGAUUUUGUUUAUCAAUAUACAUGCAUAAAUACUUUUUUUUUUUUAACUGAUUUUGUUUAUCAAUAUACAUGCAUUAAUACUUUUUUUUUUUUAACUGAUUUUGUUCAUCAAUAUACAUGCAUAAAUACUUUUUUUUUUUUUUUUAAACUGAUUUUGUUUAUCAAUAUACAUGCAUUAAUACUUUUUUUUUUAAACUGAUUUAAGUGUUACAGGCCAAAAGAGAAAAAGAUUGUAUGAGCAUAUUGGUAACCUCGACCGGUUAAGCAAAAAAGCCAGGAAAGUCAUUGGCGAGACUUGUUAGGUGCUGACUAAGACUGUAGAUGAGCCAUUAAGUGCUUGAAGUGUUACAGGCCAAAAGAAAAAAAUAAUGUAUGAGCAUAUUGG